CAGUCGCCGCGGGAAUACGGAGGGUGCAAGCGUUAUCCGGAUUCACUGGGUUUAAAGGGUGCGUAGGCGGAUCUGUAAGUCAGUGGUGAAAUCUCCAGGCUUAACCUGGAAACUGCCGUUGAUACUAUAGGUCUUAAAUUUUGUGGAGGUUAGCGGAAUAUGUCAUGUAGCGGUGAAAUGCAUAGAUAUGACAUAGAACACCAAUUGCGAAGGCAGCUGGCUACACAACUAUUGACGCUGAGGCACGAAAGCGUGGGGAUCAAACAGGAUUAGAUACCCGGGUAGUCCCUGUCUCUUAUAC
rnacentral:rRNA from 1 species